rnacentral:rRNA from 1 species
UGGGGAAUAUUGGACAAUGGGCGAAAGCCUGAUCCAGCCAUGCCGCGUGUGUGAAGAAGGUCUUCGGAUUGUAAAGCACUUUAAGUUGGGAGGAAGGGCAUUAACCUAAUACGUUAGUGUUUUGACGUUACCGACAGAAUAAGCACCGGCUAACUCUGUGCCAGCAGCCCGGUAAUACAGAGGGUGCAAGCGUUAAUCGGAAUUACUGGGCGUAAAGCGCGCGUAGGUGGUUUGUUAAGUUGGAUGUGAAAUCCCCGGGCUCAACCUGGGAACUGCAUUCAAAACUGACUGACUAGAGUAUGGUAGAGGGUGGUGGAAUUUCCUGUGUAGCGGUGAAAUGCGUAGAUAUAGGAAGGAACACCAGUGGCGAAGGCGACCACCUGGACUAAUACUGACACUGAGGUGCGAAAGCGUGGGGAGCAAACA